rnacentral:lncRNA from 1 species
UUCUCAUGGUCUUCACUUGCUAAUAAAAAAGGAGAGCUAUAUAUGCUUAUGUUAUCUCUUCUUCUAUUGUAGUUUUAAAAAAAGAAAAGUGGAGAUUGUUCUAUGAUAAAGUCUCUAAAAUUUCUCAAGGUAGUUUCCUCUAUUUUAUAGUAUUCUCUAUAUCAUCAUUUGGCCAGUAACGCUUACUAAUUCUUCUACACAGAGGUUAUGCCGGGCUUCCUUUUUUCCACCACCAACAUCGGUGCACAUGAGGUGAUAAAGUGGGUGUAUUUCUCCUGUUCUUUUGUUUAGGCCUUUAUUUUCCAUAGUUUGGUUGCCCGGUCUAUGUGAUUAUCCUCCGGAGAAAUGUUUUUGCUAAAGUUCUCUCUUGAAUAUCUCGCUUUUGGCCAUGGGCUCGAGGAGUCUGGAAACGUUCAUCAGAGUCGCUUUUCUUUUGGGCAUGGGCUCAAGGAGUCUGGACAACCAAGUUUAAUCCUUUUUUCAACUGAUCUUUAUUUUGUUGAAUGUCUCUAGCAAAUAUUUGUGUUAUACACUAAAAUGUAUUAUUGCCUUUUAAGGUGGCUUUUUCUUUCCACCUCAUUUAUCACAUACAUUCAAUAGAUGAUUUUACCUUUUUUUUUCUCUUUUUUUUUUCAAUUUACCUAAUUCAAUAUGUAUUAUUAGGUUCUCUAUACUGAGCUGAGGAACAUUAUGGUUUGUUAUCUAACAUUCGGCAGUUAGUUAAGAUACUUUCUGUCAUACUCUUUGUUCUUUAAUAGUUAUCAAGAAAUUGGGGGCCUUUUACAACAGGUAUGUGUUUUGUUUGUCCACUGCAACUAUGUAUUAUCAGGAAUUUGUAUUUAAUUAUAUGCUUUUGGUAUUAUGUUAAAUAUGUUCUAAGUGAUAUGAAAUAGGACUCUACUUCUUCUAAAUUUUCAAGUCUCAACUUGUGCUCUGAUUAUUAAAACCAUUGACAUUCAUGUAUUUGCUAAUAAUUGGGUGUUCGAUUUUAGUUUGCGAAGUUGCGUAUCUGUUAGUUUCAAUGAAUUCAUUUGAAUGAAGACAAUAAUUAAUGAUUUGCAUUUGAUGCUUGCUAAUAAUCAGUGGUUUAUUCCACUGGGGCAAAUCUUGCUUUAUUUUUUUUAAUCUUUAACCCCUUUUUAAAAACUAGAAGUGAGAUUUUUUGUCCUUGAUAGGUUUACCUUCCAAUAUGUAAGUUGUUGACUGGAAUUGUUUACAACCUAGAGGGGCUUGACUUUGAUGAUAAUUUCAUGGGAUGCUUGACUUCAAAAAAUUAAUGAUAAAUCUCAUUUGAUGCUUGUGAAAUGAAUGGUGGAAUUUUCCCUUUCUAUAAGGCAGAAGUGUUGUUUGGAUUUAAGCAUUUUGUCUUCUAUUAUUUUCUUAAAUAUGCUUUUAGUACUUCUGGUAAUAAAAGCGUUUCACUCAUUUGCACUUUAGAUGGUUAGGUACUGUUAUUUUUCUGGUGGUGACUUUCUUUUAACUGGCAAAAUGAUACGAAUCUUAGGAGCUGCCCAAAAGCUAUUACGUGGCCCAUUGACGAGUCGUUGGGGUCCAAUGAAGAGAGCCAAAGCCAAGCAUUCAAAGUUCAAGAAUUUCAUCUGCAACGCGUCGGACUGAUUCAGUUGUUUUAGCAGUUUCCGUUAUUUCCAAUUAUUUCCUAGUUUUAUUGCUUCCAAUUGGGUCUUGUAAGCCUACUAAGGCAUAUCUAGUAUGUUAGGGCAAUUAGUUAUGUUUUGGUGAAGUCUUCCAAUUCAAUUAGGAAACUUACCUCUUUCGCGUAGGCUUAGGUUCAGUUGUUUUGUAAGCCUAUAAAAGGCUGCUCAAUUCCAUAGAGAAGGGACUUUUUGGAUUUUCAGAAAUUAAGAGAGUUUCUCUAACUUCUUGUGAGCAGCCUUGAGCACCUUUAGAGGAUCUAAAGUUUUCGUUGACUUUAUCAAUCAGGAAACACGCCUGAUUGUGGUGUCUUCUACCGUUCGAAACUAUCUCGCGCUGCCCUUGAUAGUCUAGGACUCCGCUUACCCCAAACUCAUUACCUUGGUCUUGGGCUUGUGGUUCGAAUUCUGGCGUCCUCGGAUCCGAGUUUGUAUCAGUUGGUAUCAGAGCAUAGGUUAAGGUAUCAAGUUAUAUCCCUUUUAUUUUGUUCUUGUCGUAUUUGUUUAGAGUUUAUUAUUAGGGUUUUCUUCUUAAAUUCUUUUGUGUUGUCGGUCUGCCGCAGUUUGUGCUGCUAGUUGUCAGUUAAUCGUGUCUUUGUGUUUGGGUUUGGAAAAAAAAAACUCGAAAUCACUAUUCACGGCACUGUAGCGCCGUCACUGUUCACGGGUACUGUAGCACGGUUUUUGUAGCCGUACUGUUCACACGAUACUGUAGCAGCUACUGUUCAUCCGUUUCUUUUAAUUACAAGAAAAAAAAAUUUUGUGAAUUUUUGAGUCCUUGAAAUCACCAAAAAAAACAAAAAAGGGAGCCUAGCUGCACUUGCGUGAAUUAUUGGUAGUUGAUUGCUCAUCUAAGGUCAUUCUAAAUUUCCUCAAGGUGGGUGAUCAAGAGCUUUGAGAAAUUGGUGAGAAUUACUGGCACGUCCCAAUUUGAGUGACAUACACGAGUGUGAGAGAAAAUUGUGAAGGAGUGAAGUGAGGUUCUUUGUUUGUCAUUGAUCUCCCGCAGGUUUAAAACAUGUCAAACGAAGGUGAAUCCCAACCUUUUGAUUUAAGACUUCAAAUGGAGGAUAUGAUGGAAGAAUUCAGACGCAUGCUUAGAAACUCCAUUGAACCAUUGCACGAACGGAUGGAACAAUUGGAGUCAUCCAAAAAUCGAGCUAGUUCGAGCAGAGGAAGGUCGAGGCAAGUUGAGUCGGAUGCGUCUAAUAGUGAGGAUGGUGAGUUUGAUCUACAACCAAGGGUUGCCCGAGGAAGGAGAAACGGCGGGAAUGAAUCCAUCAAGGGAGUUAAGCUCAACAUCCCAUCAUUCCAGGGUAAGUCCGAUCCUGAGACAUACCUUGAAUGGGAACACAAAAUUGAGCUUGUUUCCGAGUGCAAUAACUAUUCAGAGCAGCAAAAGGUGAAACUUGCCGCCGUUGAAUUCACAAAUUAUGCAUCCGUAUGGUGGGAUCAACUUCGAACUAGUCGGAGGAAAAAUGGUGAGCGAGCAGUAGAAACUUGGGGAGAACUUAAAGGAAUCAUGAGGAGACGAUUUGUCCCAAGCUACUAUCAUAGGGAGUUACACCAACGGCUACAAACUCUCACUCAGGGCGACAAGAGUGUGGAGGACUAUUUCAAAGACAUGGAGAUGCUCAUGAUGAGAGCUGAUGUGAAUGAGGAUGCUGAAACCACUAUGGCACAAUUCCUCAAUGGCCUAAAAUCCAAUAUUGCUGAGAUAGUUGAACUCCAACAUUACAUGGAUAUGAGUGAAAUGUUGGAUAAGGCUGUGAAAGUUGAAAGGUGAAUCAAGAGGAGGGGUACCACUAGAUCUUCGUCCCAUGUAACUCCUUCAAGUUGGAGCACCAAUCCCGGACCUAAAGAGGAAAAACCUGCAAACUCAACUUCUCCACUCAAGCCUAAAGGGGACAUAGUUGGAUUGGGUACAAGUAAAGGAGCGCCAACCCCAUUCAAUGGUGCUUCUAACUCGCGCAAUCGGGAUUGAAAAUGCUUCAAGUGCCAGGGGUAUGGUCAUAUACAAUCCCAAUGCUCUAAUCAACGCAUUAUGGUUAUAAGGGACAAUGGUGAAGUAGCCACAAAUGAUGAGUCUGAUUAUGCAGGGAUGCCGCUUUUGACGGGUGAUGGGGACUCGGAGGAAGAGAUUGCACCGCUACCUGGGAAUGUAGGGUGUUUGGUUGCUCGUAGGACGUUAACCAUGCUUGCUAAGGAGGACGAGGGGUCUCAAUGGGAGAACAUCUUUUACACCCAUUGCAAAGUUAAGGAUAGGAUUUGCAACUUAAUUAUAGAUGGGGGAAGUUGCACCAAUGUUGCGAGUUUACUCAUGGUAGAAAAUUUGGCUCUCCCAACCAAGAAACAUCCUCGACCUUAUCGACUGUAAUGGUUGACAGCUGAUGGGGAUGUGCGAGUGUAUAGACAAGUAUCGAUGCCUAUUUGCAUAGGGAAGUAUGAGGAUGAGGUGAUCUGUGACGUUGUUCCCAUGCAAGCCACUCACAUUAUUUUGGGACGACCAUGGCAAUACGAUAAGGAUGUAUCCUUUGAAGGUCGAACUAAUAAGUAUUCUUUUAUCCAUGAUGGUAGGAAGAUUACUUUAGUCCCUUUAUCCCCCAACCAAGUUUGUGAAGAUCUAGAGAAGUUGAGGACGGAGAGUGCGCAUGAAGAUGCAAGGAAAAAGGAAAAUCGAGUUGCUAGCCAUGAGAGAAAGCAAAAUCUCUUGAUGCGCUUUACACCUGAGGGCAAUGCUUCGCGCCCCUCACCUCUAACAUUUGUUUUGUUUAGCGUCCACUCUUUUGUACAGGUUGAGCAAGGGGCAAAAGUUUUGGUCCUGCAAUGUUCUAUGCCUCCUUCCAUUGGAGCUUAUAACCGAAGUGCUGUUAGCCCGCGCUACCAAUUCUUGCGUUUCCACGAUUUGAGGACAAAUCUUUUUAAGAGGAGGGGAAUGAUACGAAUCUUAGGAGCUGCCCAAAAGCUAUUACGUGGCCCAUUGAGGGGUCGUUGGGGUCCAAUGAAGAGAGCCAAAGCCAAGCAUUCAAAGUUCAAGGAUUUCGUGUGCAACGCGUCGGACUGAUUCAGUUGUUUUAGCAGUUUCCGUUAUUUCCAAUUAUUUCCUAGUUUUAUUGCUUCCAAUUGGGUCUUGUAAGCCUACUAAGGCACAUCUAGUAUAUUAGGGUAAUUAGUUAUGUUUUGGUGAAGUCUUUCAAUUCAAUUAGGAAACUUACCUCUUUCGCGUAGGUUUAGGUUCAGUUGUUUUGUAAGCCUAUAAAAGGCUGCUCAAUUCCAUAAAGAAGGGACUUUUUGGAUUCUCUAGCUUCUUGUGAGCACCCUUGAGCACCUUUAGAGGAUCUAAAGUGUUUGUCGACUUUAUCAAUCAGGGAACACGCCUGAUUGUGGUGUCUUCUACCGUUCGAAACUAUCUCG